AAGAGAAUGUAAAGCCAUACAAAACUGAUUGGAUUAAAUUAUUAUAUAACUUGCAUCUUUUAUCUUGCUUCUCAACCGAUGUCUUUCAUGUUUCCUCAGUCUGAUUUCUGCUUUCCUAACAAUCACCAGGUGCUGUCUUGAUGCUUUCAGAGAGAUAGGCACCUGGCCUGUUACAGUGUAAUGUGACCUUCAAGUGAAGAAGCAGUUGUGCAAUGAUGGAACAGUUUGCCCAGUUCCUGUCCUGAGAUACAGUCUUCUGAGUAAACACCCUGAGGAUCUGGACCAAGCAUCCAGAAGAUUAUCAGGAGAAAAAAGCACUGAUAAUAUGAAAAUGAAGAUGUGCAUUGCCAUAAAAAGGAAGGGGUCAACUUCUUUUCCAAAGGGCAGGAGAAGAAACAACAGAUGGAAAGUAAUCAAGGAGAGAAGCAAUCUGGAAUUAAGGAGAAACUUCCUAACAGAUUGAAAACAUCAAGAAAUGAGCUACGUCGCAGCAGGAUGGAGGGAAAGAGAGAAGCCAGGCAGGUCAGGGCAAAUGAAACAAAGAUAGGAAAAAUAUAUGAAAUAAAUACAACUUAUGAACAUUUUGGAAGGAGCACGAGCCAAGAGUGAAGAAGGUAGCCUAGGAAGAGAAAAAAAAUCAGCAGUGUGAUAAAAUAACAUUAUAAAAAAAAAGGAUCAGUUUAUGGGCCAAGUUGAAGGUUAGAAGAAAUAAAACUGGAAGAUAUUAAAAUCAUCCUCCUCUCCAUAUUUACUGGUCCACAUUGUUUUACAAAUUUCUGUAAAAUAGAAUCAAUAAUCAGUAAACUGCAAAUGUAUAAAUAAGUCAUCUCAAACUCUUGUUGAUUUCUAUCACUUCUGUAUUAUAGGAAAUAGUACUUUGGUUUCACAUCUAACACUAUCCUGGAUUUACCCUGAUGCAUCAGGUUCUGAUCUAACACCAUUUGUCACCAGUUGGUUUCCAGGUUCUUUCCCAAUUUGGUGUGGACAAUAUUUUUGGAACCAAAUCUUGCUAUGUCUAGAGCAGGUUGAAGACUCAUUGAAACUACGACAAAGAGGACAAAAGCAUUAGCUAGGCAUUUACUCAAGUGUAAGUAGCUAUAUGGGGAGAUUGUUUUUAUUUAUAUUUUCAUAAUUAGUCAGAUCAUCUCAGUAGCACUAACAUACCUGAAAUAUUUGUAGGAAGUUAGAAUAAUAUCUCGGUUCAUUUAUCACAGACUGAUGGAAAAUAUUCAUCCAAAAUAUUCAUUAAUUAAGCUGAUUAUAUCAAUGCCGUUGACCCGAGUUUGUUAUUCAUGGUGGUUAUCUAUUUAUUUAUUUAAUCUAUAAAAUUUACAUAAGGCUGCAUGACUCCAUAGCAACAGACUCCACAAGAAACUGCUUUAUUGAUGGUAACAGAAUCUUAAAAACUAGGCUGUAUAUUUUCUCCUUCUUUUCUCUUAUACCACAGGGAGUUAGGAUGGAACCAGUUUGAGUUUUUUUAAUACUUUCCUUUUUUCUCCCAGGCUUAAAUCAUAUUUUUCUAUAACUAUUGUUGCACAGUUUCUCCAAUGUUUUCUCAGGGCUUUCUGUGUAUAAUUGGUGCCUUCAGCUGGCUAUAGAGAACCAGGAGGGCAGACUCAAAGCAAAUAUUAAUAUAUUUUUUUUUGCAAAAAUGAAGAGAACAGGAGCAUUCUUUAAAUCCUGAGAAGGUAGACAGUAUUAGAAGACACUCAGGCUGACUGUCUCCUAAAUCCCUGGAUAUAUAAGAUAGUGGAGGAGAGGCACAGUUCUAUUUGAAAGAUUGAGGCAGAUCAGAUCAGGAAAUACAUUCUUCAAGAAGAACAGAAACAUAACUAAUUGAGAUAGACUAUAAUAACAGAAUCUUCCAAGUCUAAUUCUGGUCCUCCUCACAACUGGUGUACAAGAUGAGGAGGCUCUCUUGGUUGUAGCUGCCAUUUGCUCUUUCAUCAAGUCCAGGAAAACGAAAAUUCACACCAGUUCCAAAUGGGGAAAUGCUACUCCAUCCAGGACAAGAUGAAAAAUCACUGUGAUCAGGUAGCCCACCUACUCAGUCUUGCUAGGAUGGAAUCUGAGUUUGUUUUUCCACAUCCAGACCCUCCCAACCUCCACACAUGGGGACAAGCCCUUGACAACAUCAGCAUAUUGAUGAUGCCUCAUCCAUGCCAUCGGAUGACCUCUACCGGUGACCUCAUAUAAUGUUAAACAGGAGAGAUGAGUAUCUGGAACAACUUCAUCCCUUACAUUGGUGGCAGAUCUCAUUGCUAUAGUUUGCUUUCUACAAUUAUCAUUUCUUUUACAGUUAAUGAUUUUUUAAAUGUAAAUUGUAAAUAACAUAUGGGAAAUUAAAGCUUGGGAAAAAAGUAAUAACAGGACAUUGAUUGUAUAUAAGGAUUGAAUGCAAACACAAUUAAGAUAUG